rnacentral:tRNA from 1 species
AGCUCGUCGGGCUCAUAACCCGAAGGUCGUUGGUUCAAAUCCAGCUCCCGCUACCA